CAUAUGAGCGUUGGUGUAUAAACAACUUACCGCGUUUUACAAGUGCACUGCAACGCGAAACAUUACUCUGAAUUAGAAACACGUGUUUCUAUCAAUGGAUUUAUUCUCGCUUGGAAUACUUUUAAAACAUGUGUGCAUCACUAGGCACUUAUCAGUGUUUGGCAUUAUAUAAACAACACCAUUUGAAACUUGUUUGGUUUGUUGUGUAUUUGGUUUCAUUGAAAUUUAGCAUUUUUGACUUCAAAUUGAGUCUCAAUGAGAAUUGCACCACACGUUGCACUUAAUACCAGUUCUCUUUCUCAGUUUAUAAUGUAUAUGAUUAACAAAAGUAUUAAAAGUCAUAAAAAUUGCGUUUUCGUGUUUUGAGACACUAAUUUUUGUUUGUUUUGGGACUCUAUAAGCUGAGCAGAACCCUGCAGGAGAGAAGUCUUGCAUCAAAUUGGCUUUAGUGACCGAUUGCCACAUUGUAGGAUUGAUGUCCUGACAGCAUAUUCAUUUUAGCAUUAACUUGCAGAGUAGCAGCGAUACAUAAAAUAUGGUAAGUAAUUUUCAUUCCAAUUUCAAUUUUGUUUAAUCUAGAAAUAAAAUAGGCCGAGCUGUAAGUGUUAAUGGCUGAAUUACAGCUUCCUGUAAAUCAGAUGACUGCUAUCAAUUGGAUUGCACUGAUACUCCUAGAUGGCGCUAGUGAAUGACAAUUUAUUACAGUUUGUUGAUAGAUUUAGACCACCACGCCUAGAUGGCGCUAGUAUCUGACAAUUUCUUACAGUUUGUAAAUAGAUUUAGACUUCGGCGCCCAGAUGGCGCUAGUGUCGCCGUAAUUUGUUGUUGCUGUCAAUUCGAUCACUUGUUUAGUAUGGUUUGCGCCGCGGUGCUGUUCGCGUGUUUGAUUCAGCUUCUAGUCGCUUAAAUUUAUUUCCAAAUUUUUACGUGUUUGGAGAGCGUUCAUUUAACGCGUGCAUACCCGAAAAUGGUUUAUUCAUGUGAGUUCCCACGGAACCGGCAUCCGGAUAUUUCCGUUUUCUUUGCUGCGAACACGAUGCGCUGCAAUUUCUGGUGCACGUGUUAUCUCAUUACCGCGUUGCUUUCUUCCGAUCUUCCGCACGACGCAUUAAGUUUCUUAAGAUUUUUAUUCGACAAUUGUGUUGACCGCAUUAUUUUAAUUCCUGAGCGCGCAUCAGUUGUGGAAAUAACUAAUUCAGAAGUUUGUUAAGUGAAGUGUAAUUGAAUUAGUAGCAUCAAUUGGAUAGUCAACCAAUAACUUAAAUAUUUGCGUUCAUGUUAGUAUUUGUGUCUUUUGAUUUGUUUGGUCAGUAAAAUACUUCCAUGAGUAAAACACAUUUUAAUAAUAUGUCAUAUUGAACUUUUUAUAAUUUUACUGUUACAAUUUUUUUAUUCUAAUAAAUGAGUUCCAAAC